GAUGAACGCUAGCGGCAGGCUUAAUACAUGCAAGUCGAGGGGCAGCACGGUUAGCAAUAACUGGUGGCGACCGGCGCACGGGUGCGUAACACGUAUACAAUCUACCUUAAACAGGGGAUAGCCUUUCGAAAGAGAGAUCAAUACCCCGUAAUAAAUUGAACGGCAUCGUUUGAUUUUGAAAGCUCCGGCGGUUUGAGAUGAGUAUGCGUCUGAUUAGCUAGUUGGUGAGGUAACGGCUCACCAAGGCGACGAUCAGUAGGGGAUCUGAGAGGACUAACCCCCACACUGGUACUGAGACACGGACCAGACUCCUACGGGAGGCAGCAGUAAGGAAUAUUGGUCAAUGGAGGCAACUCUGAACCAGCCAUGCCGCGUGCAGGAUGACGGCCCUAUGGGUUGUAAACUGCUUUAUACAAGAGAAAACCCUGGUACGUGUACCAGGUUGAUAGUAUUGUAAGAAUAAGCAUCGGCUAACUCGUGCCAGCAAGCCGCGGUAAU
rnacentral:rRNA from 1 species